GUACUAACUUCGGCAGCACAUAUACUAAAAUUAAAACGAUACAGAGAAGAUUAACAUGGUCCUUGUGCAAAGAUGACACACAAAUUUGUAAAGUGUUCCAUUUAUUU
ensembl:snRNA U6 U6 spliceosomal RNA